AUUGAACGCUGGCGGCAGGCCUAACACAUGCAAGUCGAACGAGUGGCGGACGGGUGAGUAAUGUCUGGGAAACUGCCUGAUGGAGGGGGAUAACUACUGGAAACGGUAGCUAAUACCGCAUACCAUCAGAUGUGCCCAGAUGGGAUUAGCUAGUUGGGGGGGUAACGGCUCACCAAGGCGACGAUCCCUAGCUGGUAUUCGCGGAUGACCAUCUAACCUUGACCUGAGACACGGUCCAGACUCCUACGUGAGUCAGCAGUGGGGAAUAUUGCACAAUGGGCGUAAGCCUGAUGCAGCCAUGCCGCGUGUAUGAAGAAGGCCUUCGGUUUGUAAAGUACUUUCAGCGGGGAGGCGUUACCCGCAGAAGAAGCACCGGCUAACUCCGUGACAGCAGCCGCGGUAAUAC
rnacentral:rRNA from 1 species